CCUUGGUUAGCUCAGUUGGUAGAGCGCUCCACUUGUAAUGAGAGGUCCCGGGUUCAAUACCCGGACCAGGCG
rnacentral:tRNA from 1 species